rnacentral:rRNA from 1 species
GGGUGCGAUCAUACCAGCACUAAUGCACCGGAUCCCAUCAGAACUCCGAAGUUAAGCGUGCUUGGGCGAGAGUAGUACUAGGAUGGGUGACCCCCUGGGAAGUCCUCGUGUUGCACCCU